rnacentral:rRNA from 1 species
ACAUGCAGUCGAGCGAAUGACGAAGAAGCUUGCUUCUUCUGAUUUAGCGGCGGACGGGUGAGUAACACGUGGGCAACCUGCCCUGUAGAUUGGGAUAACUCCGGGAAACCGGGGCUAAUACCGAAUAAUCCAUUUCCUCACAUGGGGAGAUGUUAAAAGACGGCUUCUGCUGUUCCUUCCGGGAGGGGCCCCCGCCCCAUUACCUAUUUGGGAAGGUACCGGUCCACCAGGGCAACAAUCCUAACCCAACCGGAAAGGGGAACCGGCCCCCCGGGAAUGAAAACCCGGCCCAAAUCCCUCCGGAAGGCACCAUUAGGAAUCCUCCCCCAAGGAACAAAGUCCGAAGGAACCAUGGCCCCUGGAUGAAAAAAGGUUUUCGGAUCGAAAACCUCUUUUUGAAGGAAGAACAAUACGAAGGGAACUGCUCGUACUUGACGGUACCUCAUAAAAAGCAAGGCUAACUACGUGCCACAGCCGCGGAAUACGUAGUGGCAAGCGUUGUCCGGAAUAUUGGGCGUA